rnacentral:rRNA from 1 species
CCUACGGGUGGCUGCAGUCGAGAAUCAUUCACAAUGGGGGAAACCCUGAUGGUGCGACGCCGCGUGGGGGAAUGAAGGUCUCCGGAUUGUAAACCCCUGUCAUGUGGGAGCAAAUUAAAAAGAUAGUAUCACAAGAGGAAGAGACGGCUAACCCUGUGCCAGCAGUCGUGGUAAUACAUAGGUCGCAAGCGUUGUUCGGAAUCACUGGGCGUAAAGCGUGCGUAGGCUGUGUCGUAAGUCGGAUGUGAAAGGCGCGGGCUCAACCCGCGGACGGCACAUGAUACUGCGAGACUAGAGUGAAGGAGGGGGAAGCGGAAUUCUCGGUGUAGCAGUGAAAUGCGUAGAUAUCGAGAGGAACACUAGUGGCGAAGGCGGGUUCGUGGACAUUAACUGACGCUGAGGCACGAAGGCCAGGGGAGCGAAAGGGAUUAGAUACCCCAGUAGUC